rnacentral:rRNA from 1 species
GAUGAACGCUGGCGGCGUGCCUAAUACAUGCAAGUCGAGCGAACGGACGAGAAGCUUGCUUCUCUGAUGUUAGCGGCGGACGGGUGAGUAACACGUGGAUAACCUACCUAUAAGACUGGGAUAACUUCGGGAAACCGGAGCUAAUACCGGAUGAUAUUUUGAACCGCAUGGUUCAAAAGUGAAAGACGGUCUUGCGGUCACUUAUAGAUGGAUCCGCGCUGCAUUAGCUAGUUGGUAAGGUAACGGCUUACCAAGGCAACGAUGCAUAGCCGACCUGAGAGGGUGAUCGGCCACACUGGAACUGAGACACGGUCCAGACUCCUACGGGAGGCAGCAGGAGGGAAUCUUCCGCAAUGGGCGAAAGCCUGACGGAGCAACGCCGCGUGAGUGAUGAAGGUCUUCGGAUCGUAAAACUCUGUUAUUAGGGAAGAACAUAUGUGUAAGUAACUGUGCACAUCUUGACGGUACCUAAUCAGAAAGCCACGGCUAACUACGU